GGUCCUUUCCAAAAUUCUAUCAUGCAUCCUUGCAAGAAUGAUAGCAGAAUCACUGUCUUUCUACUUGCUUAUAUGCAUGGGUUGUUCUACUUUGCCCUUUCGUACUAUUCCAUCAGGUACGGUUCUACCUCUUUGCUAAUAUUUCUUGCUCAUAAUUUGAAAUUCCUAAUGUGCCCAACCCACAACGAGCGACGGUCUCGAUGUCCCUCCGAGUAGAAUCGUAUCUAGUUCCCAAAGCCUUUACAAUCAUCGCAAAAUGUUUUUUCUCCACAUAUUGCACCUUGAGUUGAAUUUCCUUUUGUCACCCCUCACCUCCUUCUUCCCUCACUACGAUGCUUGGCGGAAAUUUGAAGUUAGAGCUUAUGAAUUUUCAUGCUUGAAACGGUGGGAUACAUCGUCCUUUCUCGCGUGAAUAAUUUUCGCCGCUAGCGGACUACCGAGAGCACUAGCUAUUCUACUUAGAGCUUCCUGAUCAGUCUACAUAGUUGUCGGAAUGUUCUUUACCCAAACUCUUUUAGGGGAUAAUUUCCAACGUGUCCUCGAAAAUGUUGCCCCCAAGACCAUGUUCUUACCAUGACGAUUAGGUAGACUUCAAAUCAUUUCCAUCAUAUUGUUUUAAUUUUUUCGUAGUCUUCACGUUCUGUGAACACAUAUUAAAAACGACUAAUUUCGUAUUUUUUUAAUUUUGAAGGCGCCACUUGGUUUCCAACGCUCUUGAGUGCAACAUUCAAUGUAGCCUUCCUUCGCUUUACCAUCCAACACUCUAUUAUUAUUGUGGACCUUCCCUAACAUUCCGAGAGACGCAUC
rnacentral:lncRNA from 1 species